CGGGGUGAGUAAUGUCUGGGAAACUGCCCGAUGGAGGGGGAUAACUACUGGAAACGGUAGCUAAUACCGCAUAACGUCGCAAGACCAAAGAGGGGGACCUUAGGGCCUCUUGCCAUCGGAUGUGCCCAGAUGGGAUUAGCUAGUAGGUGGGGUAAUGGCUCACCUAGGCGACGAUCCCUAGCUGGUCUGAGAGGAUGAUCAGCCACACUGGGACUGAGACACGGUCCAG
rnacentral:rRNA from 1 species